rnacentral:rRNA from 1 species
ACAACUUUUAACAAUAGAUCUCUUAGUUCUAGUAUUAAUAAAGAACGCAGCAAAAUGCGAUAAGUAGUGUAAAUUGUAGAAUUUAGUAAAUUAUUAAAUCUUUAAACGCAUAUUGCGCCCCUUAGUAUUCUAUAGGGCAUGCCUGUUUAAGCGUUAUUUGUACCCUUAAGCUCUGCUUAGUGUUAGGUGUUUGUUCUACUUAGGACUUGCCUUAAAACAAUUGGUAGCUAGCACAUUAGCCUAGAGCGUAGCACAUUUUGCGCCUCUUGUUAUAGUUGUUAGUAUCUAUUAAGAUACUUUUUAAGCUCUUAACCUUAGAUUAGGUAGGGAUACCUGCUAAACUUAAGCAUAUUAAUAAGCGGAGGAAAAGAAACUAAUAGGGAUUGCCCUAGUAAUAGCGAGUGAAGCGGUAACAGCUUAAAUUUAAAAUCUAGCUCUUUUAGGGUCUAAGUUGUAAUUUGUAGAGGGCGCUUUAGCGUUAGUAGUAGUCUAAGUUCCUUAGAAUAGGACGUUAUAGAGGGUAAGAAUCCUAUACGUAGUUACUAGCCUUUGCUAUGUAAAGCCCCUUUAACAAGUUAAGUUGUUUAGGAAUAUAGCUCUAAAUAGGAGGUAAAUUUCUUCUAAAGCUAAAUACUAGCUAGAGACUAAUAGCGUAUAAGUAGAGUAAUUAAAAGAUAAAAAGCACUUUAGAAAGAGAGUUAAAUAGCACGUAAAAUUGUUAAAAGGGAAGCGCUUGUAGCUAGACUUGCCUAUAGUUGCUUAUCUAGGCUUUUAUCUAGUGCACUCUUCUAUAGGUAGGCUAGUAUUAGUUUAGGCAGUUAGAUAAAGGUCUCUAUUACGUACCUCCCUUUAGGGAGGCCUUAUAGGGGAGACAACAUGCAACUAGCCUAGACUAAGGUCCGCGUAUCUACUAGGAUGCUAGCGUAAUAGCUAUAAGCGGCCUAUCUUAAAAUAUAGACUAAGGAGUCUAAUAUCUAUGUAAGUGUUUAGGUGUUAAGCCUAGACGCGUAAUAAAAGUAAAUAGAGGUAGGACCCCUUUUAGGGUGCACUAUUAACUAAUCCUAAUAUCUUUAGAAGGAUUUAAGUAAGAGUAUAGCUAUUAGGACCUAAAAGAUAGUAAACUAUGCUUAAAUAGGGUGAAGCUAGAGGAAACUCUAGUAGAGGCUUGCAGCGGUUCUAACGUGUAAAUUAAUUAUUAAAUUUAGGUAUAGGGGCGAAAGACUAAUUAAACUAUCUAGUAGCUAGUUCCUACUAAAGUUUCCCUUAGGAUAGUAGUAACGUAUUUAGUUUUAUAAGGUAAAGCAAAUAAUUAGAGGCCUAGGGGUUAAAACAACCUUUACCUAUUCUUAAACUUUAAAUAUGUAAGAAGUCCUUAUUACUUAAUUAAACGUGGACACUUAAAUAUACUAUUACUAGUAGGCUAUUUUUAGUAAGUAGAACUAGCAAUAUAGGAUAAACUAAACGCAGGGUUAAGGUGCUAGAAUACACGCUUAUUAGACACUACAAAAGGUGUUAGUUUAUCUAGACAGUAGGAUAGUAGCUAUAGAAGUUAGAAUCUACUAAGGAGUGUGUAACAACUUACCUACUAAAUAAACUAGCCCUAAAAAUAGAUAGCGCUUAAGCGUGUUACCUAUACCCUGCUGCUAGGGCAAGAUUUAAGCCCUAGUAAGUAGGCAGGCGUAGAGGCUUAUAACAAAGCCUUAGGGGUAACCCUAGGUAGAACAGCCUCUAGUAUAGAUCUUAGUAGUAGUAGCAAAUACUUAAAUAAGAACUUUAAGGACUAAAGUAGGGAAAGGUUCUGUAUGAAUAGUAGUUAGACACAGGUUAGUUAAUCCUAAGAGAUAGGGUAAUUCUAUUUUAAUGUUAGCGCUUACGCUAUGCCCUUAAAAGGGAAGCUAGUUAAUAUUCUAGCACCUAGAUAUAGAUUCUCUAUAGCAACGUAACUAAGAGCGGAGACCUUAGCAGGAGCCCUAAGAAGAGUUCUCUUUUCUUCUUAACAGUCUAUUACCCUAAAAUUAGUUUGUCUAGAGCUAGGGUUUAAUAGCUAGAAGAGUGCUGCACUUUUGCAGUAUUUAGUGCGCUCCUAAUAAGCCUUAAAAAUCUACUUAAAGAAAUAGUUUUUACGCUAGGUUAUACUUAUAACUAUAGCAGGUCUCUAAGGUAAAAAGCCUCUAGUUAAUAGAAUAAUGUAGAUAAGGGAAGUUAGCAAAAUAGAUCUAUAACUUUAGGAAAAGGAUUAGCUCUAAGGGUUAGGUACGUUAGGCCUUAGGGAGAAGCCUCUAGCGCAGAAGGGCACUAUCUGCAAGGUAGGCGCCUCUUAGCGCUAGGGUGCAGACACCCUUAGCAGGUUUUAGCUAUCUAGCGUACGUUUAACAACUAACUUAGAACUAGUAUAGAUAAGGGGAAUCUAACUAUCUAAUUAAAAUAUAGUAUUAUAAUAGCUAGAAAGUAGUAUUAAUAUAAUAUAAUUUCUGCCUAGUACUCUAAAUAUUAAAGCAAAGAGAUUUAACUAAGCGUGGGUAAACAGUAGGAGUAACUAUAACUCUCUUAAGGUAGCUAAAUGCCUUGUUAUCUAAUUAGUAACACGCAUAAAUAGAUUAACAAGAUUCCUACUAUCCCUAUCUACUAUCUAGCGAAACUAUAGCUAAGGGAACAGGCUUAGCUAAAUUAGCGGGGAAAGAAGACCCUAUUAAGCUUAACUCUAGUUUAACAUUAUAAAAAGAUAUAGGGGGUGUAGAAUAGGUAGGAGCUUUAGCGCUAGUAAAAUACUACUACCCUUAUUGUUUUUUUACUUAUUUAAUAAAGUAGAGCUAGGCCUUACUACCUAACUUCUAGCAUUUAAGGUCCUUUAUAGGCUAAUCUAGGUUAAAGAUAUUAUUAGGUAGGGAGUUUAGCUAGGGCGGCACAUCUAUUAAACUAUAACGCAGGUGUCCUAAGGGGGACUUAUAGAGAAUAGAAAUCUCUAGUAGAGUAAAAGGGCAAAAGUCCCCUUAAUUUUGAUUUUUAGUGUGAAUACAAACUAUAAAGGUGUGGCCUAUUAAUCCUUUAGUCCCUUAAAAUUUAAGGCUAGAGGUGCUAGAAAAGUUACUAUAGGGAUAACUAGCUUGUAGCAGCCAAGCGUUUAUAGCGAUGUUGCUUUUUAAUCCUUUAAUAUUAGCUCUUCCUAUUAUACUAAAGCAGAAUUUAGUAAGCGUUGGAUUGUUUACCUACUAAUAGGGAACGUAAGCUAGGUUUAGACUGUUGUAAGAUAGGUUAGUUUUACCCUACUAAUAACCUUGCCCUAAUAGUAAUACUACUUAGUACAAGAGGAACCGCGGUUUUAGAUAAUUAGUUUUUGCGGCUAUCUAACUAGGCAUUGCCGCAAAGCUACUAUCUGCUAGAUUAUAGCUAAACGCCUCUAAGUUAGAAUCUAUGCUAGAAUAGGGUGAUUUCUGCCUGCACUAGUUAGAUACAAAUAGGCCUUUGGCCUAGAACCUUACUAGAUUAGCGUUAGUAGCCCUAUUAAAGUUAGAGUUGUUAGCUAGUGUAUUGUAAUUAUAUAGUGCGUAGGAU